UACGUAGGGUGCAAGCGUUAAUCGGAAUUACUGGGCGUAAAGCGUGCGCAGGCGGCUUUGCAAGACAGAUGUGAAAUCCCCGGGCUCAACCCGGGAAUGGCAUUGGAUACUGCAGAUCUGGAGGAUCGGAGGGGGGACUGGAAUUCUUGGUGUAGCAGUGAAAUGCGUAGAUAUCAAGAGGAACACCAGUGGCGAAGGCGAGUCCCUGGACGAUACCUGACACUGAGGCACGAAAGCUAGGGGAGCAAACAGG
rnacentral:rRNA from 1 species